rnacentral:rRNA from 1 species
UACGUAGGUGGCAAGCGUUGUCCGGAAUUAUUGGGCGUAAAGCGCGCGCAGGCGGUUUCUUAAGUCUGAUGUGAAAGCCCACGGCUCAACCGUGGAGGGUCAUUGGAAACUGGGAGACUUGAGUGCAGAAGAGAAGAGCGGAAUUCCACGUGUAGCGGUGAAAUGCGUAGAGAUGUGGAGGAACACCAGUGGCGAAGGCGGCUCUUUGGUCUGUAACUGACGCUGAGGCGCGAAAGCGUGGGGAGCGAACAGG